ACUUCCCUGUAAACAAAGUGCUUCUUCAGAUAUUUGUUUCGAUGUGGGAGGAUGUGAUGGAUAUCUCAGGCAAAGGAAGGUCGAAAAAUUGGCUAACUAAAAAAUGAAAGUCUUUGAAGCAAAUGCAGAGGCAACUCAGUGAAGCUAGCUCAAAAAUGGCUGGGCUUUAAAUGACACCGAUGGCAUACGCUUCAUAGUCUUCACUGAGCAGCAGAAUUCAUUGUGUAAAAAAUAGAAGACCAUAAGAAAAGAAACAAGGAAGCUAUGAUGUGGUGAAAAGACUUGGUGACUAACUUCAACAGUUUUAAAUGUAAUUAAAGACUCUGACUCCAGCAGUUCCCGCAUUUCCUCUUGUUUUGCCAAGACAAAAAGGAUCUUGCACAGUUGACUUAUAUCAUUGUUAUGUAUGUUCUAAUCAGCUGUUGUGCAUGCACAGCCAGAUGCUUUGCUAAGGCCAGUCUGAAAUUUGUUGAGGUUUCCUGUUUUGACUGAUCAGGAUUUUAUCUGCUGUGAAUUGCACCUGAUGCUCUUAAUGCAGUUCUCCCUAGAUAUCAGGUCUUCACUGUCCAUCCUCAGCACUGACAACAUCUGUGCUCAUCUCCUUAUUUAAAUCUGCAAAUGUGCUUCUGCUUUUGAACUCCUAGGUACCUAAAGGUAGUUUACCUUUGAUUAUCAAAUGUCCGAUCUAAAAAUAAAAGUCCAGCAAGUGUAAAACAAUAAAAUGCCACACAUAGGAUUUAGCCUCAUUGUGAAUCUCUCAGCUGCUGCUUUCCAAUUCCUUUGCACUCAAUCAGACUGAUUACUUGGUUGGUCUGUCUGUCUGUCUCUCCCUUUCUCUUUCACUCACACACAUUUGUCACCAUUGCCUUGUACAAACAUAUUCCCUUCAAAGUGAGAAAAUAACGGGAACCUGGUGCAGGUAGGGUGUGGCUAUACAAGAAAUGUGGAAAAGCAGAUUUUUAUUGUGUAUGCCACAGUUCAAUAGAAAAUUCACCAGUUGUGGAGUUAGGGUAUAAACAAAACAGCAGAAAAAGUAGUAUGAGCCUUGGAGAAUACCAAAGAGACUAUUCUCUUUAAAGCAACAAGUUCAUCCUUAGCUAUGUACUGGUAAAUCCUUGGGUACAGAAGGGGAACAGUCAGUGAAAUGUUGCUUAUUGUGGACUCUAACAAUCCUUGCUUCAGUUCCCUCCUAGCCACAAAAUGACAAUGUCCAGAUAAAGAGUAAUGGAUUUCUACAGGCUGGCUUGAACAGCCGAGUCUGUUAUCCAUCUGACAUACCUCUCUUCCGUUUCCUUUACUGGAGAAGAGCAUGGGAUCCACAAUCAUUGUUUUUGUUUGAUUUUUAAAUAUCUAAUAUUUAAACUGAUGCCUAUAUUGUAGGCUGACAAUCAGGUCACUGAUCAGGUCUCUAUACUGUAUUUUACAUAAGCUAAUAAUGAAGAUAAAAACAACUCUUCCAUAAACCAUAUUUAAUUGGAGGUCGUGACUGUUUACAAAGGUGGUUGCAAUUAUUAUUCCAGUUAACCUCUGCAUUUUUUAUAAUUAAAGUAAUUAACCUAACAAUUGACAAGGUUAACAAAGUAUUGUCUUCCUCCCUCCACCUUCCUCUCCCACCCUGCCACAUGCACACAGUUUUCUGUAAAUGGCCCAGUAUGUAAUAACAGGUGGUCAAGACAGCUAACUUAGAGGUCAAGGCUGGGGCAAGCAACAAUUACUGUGCUGCAGAUAUAAGGUUCUGUAUUUGAUUGAAAAGCCAAACUUCUAUUACUUUUUUGCCUCUUCAGUAUCAACUCUAAAAUUAUAAGAGAAUCAGAUGCAAAAAAGCCACCAUGAACACCAAAAGGCUCCCAACAUUUCCCCAGACUGGGGAUACCCAGAUGUCCACUCCCCUCCUGUAGACCAGUCUAGAAACAGAAUGAAGCAGUGAGACAAAACUAAGGUUUCCAUAUUUUCAGUUCCAAAAAAGAGGACACCUGUCGGGGGGACACCUUACUCCCAACCCACAGCCUCCUGCCUCUCACUCCCAACCUGCAGCCCUCCACCCCCAUCCCUACUGCUGCCCCUCACUCCAGACCCACAGUCCCUCACCCUUCCAGGCCAUGCUGUUGCCCCUCACUCCCAACCUGCAGCCCCCAUCCCUGCUGGUGCUCCUCACCCCGACCUGCAAUUCCCCCCAGCUCUGCCAGUACCCCUCACUCUCAGCCCACAGCCCCAUGCUCCCCACAGCCCUGCCCAGCCCAGUGUGGCAACUCCAACUCGUGCAGGCAGUGGUGGAGUAAGCCCGGUCUUGGCACAAGCUGGGGCUCCUGCUUGCAUUAGACAGCCUGGCCAUUGCUCCCUUCCCCCGGCACUGUCUCCUGGUUGCUUCACCCCUGGGAGCACGAGCACCAGCCCCUGUGCUACUGGCCUAGCCACAGAGUUCCCCACUGCUGUCAAAGGACUCCCCCACCCUGUUUCCCCACUGCCUUGCCUUGCUGCAGUUCCAGUCCCAACCCCAGCACCUGGCCACCACUCCCCAGUUCCAUCAGGCACCCACUCGGCCUCACAUAUACAUCCCUUCCACCUAUCCUUGCCACACACACACACACACACACACACACUUAACUGAAUCCACCUGCCGGGGCUGGUCCCACGCCCCUGCCUGACUGCAUGCCGGCCACCUAUGCGUGUGUGUAUGCAGACGCAUGUGAUGCCUUUGCCUCUCAACACCCUCCCCUGCUCCCACCAGUGGAGCAAAGCAAAACAGCAGACAUUUGGUGAUAUUUCAGAAAACUGCCUGGAUGGAAAUCAGAGGACCCAAAAAGAGGACAUGUCCAGGAAAACCGGGACGUAUGGUAACCCUAGGUAAAAUCCUCUGCUUGCUCUUCAGUCUGGGGAGCUGGGAACAAGGAAUCACUGAUCGUCCUCUUAGUCCCCCAUGGCAAAUAGCUAAGCAGAGUGAGCAGAGCAGUAACCUCCAACUACUCAGAUUGGGGGCCCUGGUCAGGGGAGAAAGUGGCAGCUUUGCCCUGUUGUUCCAGUCCCCUAUCUGGACAGGUCAUGUGCCCUUCUCUCCUAGACCCAAGCAGUGAGAGAAUGCCCCUGCCUGUUCCUCUGACUGCCCAGUUCCCAGGCUAGGAAAGUAUGGGGAGGAUUGCCCCAACUUUUUACUUCCCUCCUUGGCCUUACCAGGAGGGGAACAUAUAGGCAUUCCCUCUUACAAGUGAGUUUCUAUUGCAAUGGAGGUUUUCCGGGUUAAUACCUACAAGAUCUUUCUCUUGGAGGGGGCAUAUUUCCCCUGGGAGAAAUUGAAUGCUCAUGCUUGUAUGCUCAUAAUUUCUACAGGGAGAGUGGGAUUCUUUUGGUAGAAACAUAAUGUUUGGACCAGCAAAGCAAAAUCUGGACAUUGAUAACAAGUGACUCAUUCAGACAAAAAGCACUUACAGCAGAUAAUGAUAACUUCUCAGUAAGUGAUCCUUAUAAACACAGUCAUAAUCAUUUGUCCCAGUAAUGAACAAAAAAAUCACAAUUCAAAAAUACAAUAUAGUAACUGAUUAAUAAUGUCUGUGGUUGGGCAACCCUUUAGGCAUCAAGUGCCUGAAACCUGGUAACCUGAAGAACGGCACUUAAUGUCUGAAAGUCUGUCCAACAGCUCUUCCAACUAUUACAGUUUGUCUAAUAAGAUAUUACAAAAAAAUCCUUUCCUAUCAGAUAUUUCCUAGACCACCACAGCUACAACAACACUCCAGCCCUACUACAUCAAUUAAAUCCUUUUUAAAAAAAAUAAGAAUUAAACUUUAUAUGAGUUUUGGUAUAAGACAAAACCAUACCCUUAAACCUCACUUUAGAGGGCAUUACUGCCACUGACCAUUACUACCAGUUUGAACCACUUGCCAAGCACACAAAACCUACAGUUAUUCUCAUACCUACACUAUGGCAUGGAAUAAGUUUGAGAACUAUUCUUUGAGAUCAACUUAAAAGAGUUAAUGGAGAGAAACUAGCAAUGUAAAAUAGGAAGAUAUUUAUGGUUAAGGAACAGAAUAAAGUGAUAUAGUAAAAAAAGAAAGCAGAAAUGAAGCAGAAGAAAUUAAAAUAAACAGAGAAAAGGGUAUAUAUGCUGGUUGGAUGGCUUGCUUCUGCACAUAAAAUGCUUUAUAGUCUUAUGUUUAAAAGGAGCUGUCCAAGUAGCCUAGAAAAUUAUGCUGCUGUAAAAGUUAAGGACCAUCUUUUAUUGCUUUUAAAAGUGCAUUUUACUGGUAUAAUGUGGUAUACUUACAAUCUUAAUUUAGGGAAAAGAGUAAGAAAUUGCACAAACUGUAAAUUUUGAAUGGCUUUAACAUAUAAGUUACAAGAGGUUUAAAGAUGGAGCAGUAGAGUCAGAUUGUUUUAAAUAUUGGGAAAUGGACUGCCAAUGUUAAAAUAAAAAUUAAGCCAUAGAAUGCAAAAAUAGUGUAUUUCUGAGGAAAGUUGAUGGUUAUAAAUUGAGUAUGGUUUUGAUUAUACUUUGUAUGUAAAAAAAAUUACUUUACUACUGUUAAAAAUAAACACAAGUCAAACAGUA